rnacentral:rRNA from 1 species
GAUGAACGCUGGCGGCGUGCUUAACACAUGCAAGUCGAACGGAAAGGCCCAAGCUUGCUUGGGUACUCGAGUGGCGAACGGGUGAGUAACACGUGGGUGAUCUGCCCUGCACUUCGGGAUAAGCCUGGGAAACUGGGUCUAAUACCGGAUAGGACGAUGGUUUGGAUGCCAUUGUGGAAAGUUUUUUCGGUGUGGGAUGAGCUCGCGGCCUAUCAGCUUGUUGGUGGGGUAAUGGCCUACCAAGGCGUCGACGGGUAGCCGGCCUGAGAGGGUGUACGGCCACAUUGGGGCGAGGAUACGGCCCAGGCUCCUACGGGGGGGAGGAGGGGGGGAUAUUGGCAAAUGGGCGCAAGCCUGAUGCAGCGACGCCGCGUGGGGGAUGACGGCCUUCGGGUUGUAAACUCCUUUCGCUAGGGACGAAGCGUUUUUGUGACGGUACCUGGAGAAGAAGCACCGGCUAACUACGUG